UACGUAGGGUGCGAGCGUUGUCCGGAAUUACUGGGCGUAAAGAGCUCGUAGGUGGUUUGUCGCGUUGUUCGUGAAAACUCACAGCUCAACUGUGGGCGUGCGGGCGAUACGGGCAGACUGGAGUACUGCAGGGGAGACUGGAAUUCCUGGUGUAGCGGUGGAAUGCGCAGAUAUCAGGAGGAGCACCGGUGGCGAAGGCGGGUCUCUGGGCAGUAACUGACGCUGAGGAGCGAAAGCGUGGGGAGCGAACAGG
rnacentral:rRNA from 1 species